rnacentral:lncRNA from 1 species
AAAGAUCUAAUCGGCAACGAAUGGAUCUAACUAUAAAAAGCAACGAAAGCCGAUACUACCGAUUCCUAGCAGGAUAACUGGUGAUAGAAACUAGAAAAACAGGUAAAAACCUAUGAAUCUAGUCGAUAUCGAUAACUGAUGAAUAAAUCUAAACGAAACGACAGCGAUGCGCCGGAAGUUAAAGCUUAGAUAUUACUCGAUAAACGGAACUUACAGAAUCGACCGGAGAUCAAGAUGAUGCAGCCCUGCCAACCCGCACGAACUCGUGAGAAGGAAAAGUAAUGGCGAAGUCGCCUGCUUGACAGUAAGUACGAAGAAUAAAGUAACUUGUUGUAUUGAUUGAUUGUUGUGUUUACAGAUUUACAAAGGUAGCUAUUUAUAGCCCCGUACAAAUAAUCUUCUUAACCGACUAAGACUCUAUCUCUAAUUCAAAUAGAAAACAAAUAUCUACAAACACAAUCCGUGCUAAACUAAUUACUCCACGCUUCGUGGGCCGAAUUCCACCUUAUCCCUCCAUCUUUCCAAGCCCAUACAGGCCCACCUUAGUUCACCUUCCCGAUCGGCCGAUUUCUUAAAGGAUUGCCGAUUGGGAACCUGGCGCGUUCACCCUGAAGCGAGGUAAAAGCCACUUGACCGAUUCCGCACUGUAGCACCUUUUGGCCGAUCCCCAUCCGUAUUCCUUCGAUUUCUUUCUUCUUUGGCGCCGAUUCUACUGAUGACGAAAUCCGACGUCAACAAAAGCGAACAAAUAUAUAAGAAGUUUAUAUAUAAAUAAAAAUAUUUUUUUUGAAGAAGUGAAGUAAGAAAUAAAUCAAUCAAUCAAUAAAUAGAAAGUUAAAAAUUAAAACUAAAAUUUAAAUAUAAGGUAAUAAAUAAAGAAAACAAAUAAAAUAAAAAAUAAAUGGAAAAAGAGUAAGCAAUAAAUUGAAAUAAAAAUGAAGAAAAUACAAAAGGGAAAAAACUAAAAACAAAAGGAAAAAAAUAAAAAAGGUUAAAAACAAAAAAUACAUUUGAAGAAGUAACGAAAGAACAAAAUAGUUAGAAAAAUGUAACGAAACCAAAAAAGAAGUGAAAGGAACCUGGGCAAAAAAUACGAAAAGAAAAAAAAGAGCAACUCAGCCUCAAAGAAAUAAAACAAACCAACUCAAUCUGAGCCAAAAAGAAUAAAUAAUAAAAUAAACCCACCUUAGAUAUGCAUGCAUGUCUAGCGCCUUGGAAAAAAAAUAAAAUUAGAAAAUUAACCUACUCACACAUGCAUACCAGCAUGGUCU